AAGUGAGGUGGAGGUCGCAAAAAAUAUUAUUAAAUAUAUUUAGAGUGUAGCACUUGUUGAUGUAUAUUGAAAGGAUUUUUUGCCGAAAUAAUACUUAAGCUACUGGAGUAUUGUUGGGGCUAUACUUAAUAGGUAUAGAACUGUCAUAGCAGUGAUGUUAUGUUGAGCUACUGACUUU
rnacentral:ncRNA from 2 species